GGCCUAGUGGCUCAGUUGGUUAGAGCGCCGCCCUGUCACGGCGGAGGUCGAGGGUUCGAGCCCCUCCUAGGUCG
rnacentral:tRNA from 1 species